GUCUCUCCCUUUGUUCUCUUGCCUUUUAUCUGCCGAGUUCUCUCCGCAGAGAUCCCUGCCCUUGCCCUGCCGCUUUUCCCUUCUUUUCUAAGCUUGCCCUUGCCCACCCCUGCUUCUGCAGGAAAACAACCAGCCACUCGCAUUCAGCGAUGCCCUCGCUAUUUACUGAUGUCAGUUCCCCCACUCAGAAUUCAUUUCCCUUUUGUUUGCCUUAGCUAGGGAGGUCCGUGAAAUUCGCAACAGUUUAUCCCUCAAUGAGAGCAGGGAAGAGAGAAGCCCCGCAUCCCGCACGUGGCGGGUCACCCACCCAUCCGUCCACCCAUCCGUCCAUCCAUCUAUCCAUCCAUCCGUCCAUCCAUCCAUCCAUCCAUCCAUCCAUCCGUGGCGCGGCGUGCCCGCAGCGCUCCCUCGGCUGAAGGCGGGAUGUGCUCCGGGCUGUGCGCGCUGAGUCACCGGCCGGGCUCAGCGCACCGGCCCCAGCGCAGCACAAGCGAUGCUGACAGCUCCCGUGCACAGCUAGCCUGAUCAAAGGCCAGCCUGUGUCUCCGGGGCAGCAGGAGGGCGAGAAGGGGCUGGGGCCCGGGGCAGCCCCAGCGCUCUUCCGGCUCACUCAGCCAGAACUGCCCCCGCAGUCCCUGCACGGGAGGGCCCCCAGCCCUGCUGUGGGUACACGGAGCUGCCUUGGCACAUAUGCCAGUCCUGCGGCGUGUGGGUGUGGUGCCUUCAGGAGCAGCCCCGGGAUGGGCCGGAGCGGGACAAGAUGAGGCAGGCAGGGAAAGAGAUGCUCCUGCCCGUGCUGUGCACAGCAGGUAUCCCAGCUGGGACACAUUUGCUUGCUGGAGUAGUCUGCAAAAUAAAUUGCUAUAGGCAUGAAUAUUUAAAUUUCCUUCCAAUGGGUAUCGAGCCAAAUUCCACAUCUCAGUUCCAGGGCGAAUCGGGAUGAUCAGACACGCUGCUUCACAGAACAGAAACACAGAGAUGCUCCCAGCAAAGAAACAGAAACCAAAGCAGAAAAAUGAGGCGUCUGCAGAAAUGCUUUGUUGGUGGACUGCUGAUGGGCACUGCUGGUUCUGCAGGGGCUCCCGUUCCUGUCGGGAUCUGCCUUUGCUGCCGUCUGCAGCCUCCUGGAGCUGCCUCUCCAGCAAGAAGCACACAGUGAUCACUGGCAGUGGUCCCUGGGGAUAUUACUGCACGAUGGGAAAAGCAGCUACAGCAGCGGCUGGGCGUGAUGCUGAAGAAGUCAUCUUCCUACUGUGUCCUUAAUACAAAUACUUUAUGGAAAAUGAAUCAGUCCUCUUUGGGCUUUUUUCCAGAGGCCCCUCUGACUAAUUUUGUCCAAAACAGCCGGGCUGACCCUGCACAGCAGUAUGACGGUGGCAGACAGGACCUGCUCACGUUUGGGUGGAGGCAGGGAAAAACUGUUUUGCAGGCCUGCCCAAAAAAAUCCUCAGGCUGACUCUGCCAAAAACCACACCAAACAUAUGGUAAAUGAAAUCGCUGGCAGGGAGCUGGCUUGGACGGCAGGAGUGUUUCAGCACUGUGGACUGCUUGUUAGCUGGCCUGAAUUGUAUUUAUGCUGCUUUAAGCAGCUCCAUAUUUAAGGAAAAGAAGGCAAAGGAGAAGGCACUGCCAAAUUUUUGGGUGUGCUUUUGAUGCCUCCCCAUGCACAUUAUUUUCUUGACAAUGUCAGUAUGGUCACAGUGCUUGUCCCAUCCUGUGGUUAAGAGCACAACAGCACCACAGAAGAUUUCACCUCCUCAUAUGGCAACAGUCUCCUGUGGAAAAGCAGACAGAAGGGCUUUUCUCUCUUGGAACAGGGACACUGCCUAUUUCACCAUAUGAAUGUCGUGUACAUUUCAUGGAGCUGAUGAAAUCAUGUACAGAUGGGAUCCAUCUUAACAAAGGCUCUUAUUCACAGGGCAGGUUUCUCUGUGGCGUUUCUUGGGCUGUAUCCCAGCUUGCAUAGCCAUAUCAACCAAAUGCAUCCACAGAGCCAGGCAAAUUUCUGAGAGGAUACCAGACACAGAGAUGCUGUGCCCCUGCUGCUGUGAACAGCUUGACUGACUUUGCAGCAGUUUGGCCCCUCUGGGAAUCUGAGCCUUGGAGUCAUGGCAAUAAACACGCUUUUCCUCACA
ensembl:lncRNA